GAAAGACUCUCGGCAACGGAUAUCUCGGCUCUUGCAUCGAUGAAGAACGUAGCGAAAUGCGAUACUUGGUGUGAAUUGCAGAAUCCCGUGAACCAUCGAGUCUUUGAACGCAAGUUGCGCCCGAAGCCAUUAGGCUGAGGGCACGCCUGCCUGGGUGUCGCCC
rnacentral:rRNA from 2 species